rnacentral:misc_RNA from 1 species
CGCAGUUGUGGGUUCUUCUAUGUCAAGCCUUCCAAAAUUGUUGACUAGCAUUUCACCAUACUCUCCAAUGCACCAAACUGCUACUCGAAAGAGGGUUUCCUGAUCCCUUGCUUUUUGCACAGCUCUGUACAAAGAGCGUACAGCAUAUCCAUGGAGGUCGGAAGCAUUUGUAAUCACCACAAUCAGAGCAUGCCACACCUCAUCCUUGACAUAGUUUCCAGCCUCAGAGAGAACCUUGAGCAUCUGAUCAAUGUACCAAAUUUUUUCAUGGGAGAACUUUUCUACAAUGGAACAGAUUUUGGCAGUCAGGUCUCCCUUAAACUCUGGAUCACUUACUUCGAGAUGUUCAGUCAACUCCUUGGUCAAUGGCUUCACAUUGGUUUCGUUUACUAAUAGACACACUAGGUCAAGGGCUCUUUUACGAAUUGAUGGAUCGGAAUCCUUCACACAUUCCAAAAUUGUUGUCCGAUGCCUCUGCACUGCUUGACUAUCUACAGCUAAAGCUUUCAUUAACAUGUUCAGUGCAACAUAUCUGAUAUUGUUAUCACGGUUGGAUAAAAAUCUUCCCAAAAUGUUAAUAGCAAGCACCCUCAAGCCACCAUUAUCUUCUACGCUCAUGAUAGCUGCAACACAUUCAUAAAGAAUAGCAUUGCCUGCAUUUUUGUU